rnacentral:rRNA from 1 species
CGUGUAGGCGGCCCUGCAAGUCUUUCGUGAAAUCCCACAGCUCAACUGUGGAACUGCGAGGGAAACUGCAGGACUUGAGUCCGGGAGAGGAGAGUGGAAUUCCCAGUGUAGCGGUGAAAUGCGUAGAUAUUGGGAGGAACACCGGUGGCGAAGGCGGCUCUCUGGACCGGAACUGACGCUGAGGCGCGAAAGCUAGGGGAGCAAACGG